rnacentral:snoRNA from 1 species
GAUCCUGUCUCGAAAAUUUAAAUUGAGACACACAAGGAUACAAUUAAGCUUCCCAGCUCUCUCUCUUCCAACAGGCUCAAGUAAUGCUAUGAUAGGCAAGGCAGUGCCACACAGUGCCACACAGGCCCGAGUCUCCUGAUGAGUCUGGGAAAGAUGUAGCUGCAUCCAAUUUCUUAGUGACAAAGGGGUUUGAGUGUUUUGAUCAUGUAGUGUGUAUGUCUAUGGUGUGACAGGUGAGAUC